rnacentral:rRNA from 1 species
AUUGAACGCUGGCGGCAGGCCUAACACAUGCAAGUCGAGCGGAUGAAGGGAUUUUUCUCCUGGAUUCAGCGGCGGACGGGUAAGUAAUGCCUAGGAAUCUGCCAGGUAGUGGGGGAUAACUUCCGGAAACGGGCGCUAAUACCGCAUACGUCCUGAGGGAGAAAGUGUCGGAUCUUCGGACCUCACGCUAUCAGAUGAGCCUAGGUCGGAUUAUCUAGUUGUUUGAGUAAAGGCCUACCAAGGCGACGAUCCGUAACUGGUCUGAGAGGAUGAUCAGUCACACUGGAACUGCGGCAGGGUCCAGACUCCUACGGGAGGAAGCAGUGGGGAAUAUUGGACAAUGGGGGAAAGCCUGAUCCAGCCAUGCCGCGUGUGUGAAGAAGGUCUUCGGAUUGUAAAGCACUUUAAGUUGGGAGGAAGGGCAGUAAGUUAAUACCUUGCUGUUUUGACGUUACCAAGAGAAUAAGCACCGGCUAACUUCGUG